CACACCGCCCGUCGCUACUACCGAUUGAAUGGCUCAGUGAGGCUUUCGGACUGGCCCAGAGAGGUCGGCAACGACCACUCAGGGCCGGAAAGUUAUCCAAACUCGGUCAUUUAGAGGAAGUAAAAGUCGUAACAAGGUCUCCGUUGGUGAACCAGCGGAGGGAUCAUUACAGAGUUCUAAAAAGACUCCCACAACCACUGUGAACGUACCCGUCAGCGUUGCCUCGGCGGGCGGCCCCUCCCUGGGGCCGCUGCCCCCCCUCGCGGGGGGUGCCCGCCGGCGUACCAAAACUCUCCUGUAUUUUAGUGGCCUCUCUGAGAAAACAAGCAAAUAAGUUAAAACUUUCAACAACGGAUCUCUUGGUUCUGGCAUCGAUGAAGAACGCAGCGAAAUGCGAUAAGUAAUGUGAAUUGCAGAAUUCAGUGAAUCAUCGAAUCUUUGAACGCACAUUGCGCCCGCUAGUACUCUAGCGGGCAUGCCUGUUCGAGCGUCAUUUCAACCCUCAAGCCCCGCUUGGUGUUGGGGUCCUACGGCUGCCGUAGGCCCUGAAAGACAGUGGCGGGCUCGCUGCAACUCCGAGCGUAGUAGUAACAUAUUCUCGCUAGGGAGGCGUCGCGGGUUCCGGCCGUGAAAGCCCCAUCUUUUACACAAGGUUGACCUCGGAUCAGGUAGGAAUACCCGCUGAACUUAAGCAUAUCAAUAAGCGGAGGAAAAGAAACCAACAGGGAUUGCCCCAGUAACGGCGAGUGAAGCGGCAACAGCUCAAAUUUGAAAUCUGGCCUCGGCCCGAGUUGUAAUUUGUAGAGGAUGCUUUUGGUGAGGUGCCUUCUGAGUUCCCUGGAACGGGACGCCAGAGAGGGUGAGAGCCCCGUAUAGUUGGACACCGAGCCUCUGUAAAGCUCCUUCGACGAGUCGAGUAGUUUGGGAAUGCUGCUCAAAAUGGGAGGUAUAUCUCUUCUAAAGCUAAAUACUGGCCAGAGACCGAUAGCGCACAAGUAGAGUGAUCGAAAGAUGAAAAGCACUUUGAAAAGAGGGUUAAAUAGUACGUGAAAUUGUUGAAAGGGAAGCGCUUGUGACCAGACUUGCGCCGGGCUGAUCAUCCAGUGUUCUCACUGGUGCACUCUGCCCGGCUCAGGCCAGCGUCGGUUCUCGCAGGGGGACAAAAGCUUCGGGAACGUGGCUCCUCCGGGAGUGUUAUAGCCCGCUGCUCAAUACCCCUGCUGGGACCGAGGUUCGCGCUCUGCAAGGACGCUGGCAUAAUGGUCAUCAGCGGCCCGUCUUGAAACACGGACCAAGGAGUCGAGGUUUUGCGCGAGUGUUUGGGUGUCAAACCCGCACGCGUAAUGAAAGUGAACGUAGGUGAGAGCUUCGGCGCAUCAUCGACCGAUCCUGAUGUAUUCGGAUGGAUUUGAGUAAGAGCGUAUAGCCUCGGACCCGAAAGAUGGUGAACUAUGCCUGAAUAGGGUGAAGCCAGAGGAAACUCUGGUGGAGGCUCGCAGCGGUUCUGACGUGCAAAUCGAUCGUCAAAUUUGGGCAUGGGGGCGAAAGACUAAUCGAACC
rnacentral:rRNA from 1 species